rnacentral:rRNA from 1 species
UACCAGCUCUCCGAGUGGUGUGGAUGUUUAUUGGGCCUAAAGCGUCCGUAGCUGGCUGGACAAGUCCCCUGUUAAAUCCACCGAUUUAAUCGUUGGUGUGCGGGGGAUACUGUUCGGCUAGGGGACGGGAGAGGCAGACGGUAUUUUCGGGGUAGGGGUGAAAUCCUAUAAUCCCGGGAAGACCACCAGUGGCGAAGGCUGUCUGCUAGAACGCGCCCGACGGUGAGGGAUGAAAGCUGGGGGAGCGAACCGGAUUAGAUACCCGGGUAGUCCCAGCUGUAAACGAUGCAGGCUAGGUGUUUGGACGGCCACGUGCCGUUCUGGUGCCGCAGGGAAGCCGUUAAGCCUGCCGCCUGGGGAGUACGGCCGCAAGGCUGAACUUAAAGGAAUUGGCGGGGGAGCACCACAAGGGGUGAAGCUUGCGGUUU